rnacentral:piRNA from 1 species
AGACAGCCCCACCUCAGCCAGUCC